UGAGGCAGGAGAAUCGCUUGAACCUGGGAGGCGGAGGUUGCAGUGAGCCGAGAUCGCACCAUUGCACUCCAGCCUGGGCAACAGAGACUCCGUCUCAAAAAAAAAAAAA
rnacentral:miRNA from 1 species